CCGGGCACCGCCGGGCCGGGAGGCAGGAGGCGGGGCGUCCGGGCCUGGCCCUGCCUUUUCUGCGUGUGGUUCUUGUAAACCUUAUGUUCUUAAAAAAAGAAAAAAGCGAAAUUGGAACAAGUAAAAGUCAAAUCGAUUCAGCAAAUGUUUAGGGUACAGCGCAGUUGCAGGAGCCCCUCCGUCGGAGCGAGCAGGCCAGUGGGGACCGAAGUGCCGAAACCUGGUUGGGUCCCUGAGAGGGGUCCCUGCCCCGGAGUGGAAGGGACAGGAGCCUACCUUCCUGAUGAAUAUCUGUUAUCGCUGAAGUUUCUCUUUGGCUCAUCAGCCACCCAGGCCUUGGACCUAGUUGAUCGACAAUCCAUCACCUUAAUCUCAUCACCCAGUGGAAGGCGUGUUUACCAGGUACUUGGAAGUUCUGGGAAAACAUACACAUGUUUGGCUUCUUGUCAUUACUGUUCAUGUCCUGCAUUUGCCUUCUCAGUGCUACGGAAGAGUGACAGCAUCCUGUGCAAGCAUCUCCUGGCAGUUUACCUUAGUCAGGUUAUGAGGACCUGUCAGCAGCUAAGUGUCUCUGACAAGCAGUUGACUGACAUAUUAUUGAUGGAGAAGAAACAAGAACCAUAAAAGGGCAAAUGAAGGAACAGAUGAAAAAUCAUGUCCUAGAAGGAAACUACAUUUCAGUCCAAAGAAGAAAAGACAAAAUAGGUAACAAGACUGUUAGAAGAGCGAGCAAAGAAAAUAAUUCAUGAAGAAGAAAAUAAAAUCAAUUUAAUCAUAAGACAAGAACUUACGGUAAAACUGCCCACAGCCAGAAGAGGAUCCUAGAAGGACAGGAACUCCCUGUCUGCAGCAUUUCAUAAGCAUGUAAUAUCCUUGCAGGAUACUGCAGAAGGAAUUGAUGCAAUGGACAAACAGAGGAUAUAGGUGAUUUUACAGCCCAAGAAAAGCCCAUGCUUUUGCCCCCAGAACAUGAGAUGCUAGUGAAUAAAUGCUGGGUGAAAAGCCCAGGGCCGGGAUGUUGUAAUGUUCUGUGGUUGGCAGAUGUUUUUUGUUUUGUUAAAGUGUAACAAAUAUCUAUCAAGACUUUUCUGCUACUCGG